AACGAACGCUGGCGGCAUGCCUAACACAUGCAAGUCGAACGAGAUCUUCGGGUCUAGUGGCGCACGGGUGCGUAACGCGUGGGAAUCUGCCCUUUGGUUCGGAAUAACAGUUGGAAACGACUGCUAAUACCGGAUGAUGACGACAGUCCAAAGAUUUAUCGCCAGAGGAUGAGCCCGCGUAGGAUUAGCUAGUUGGUGUGGUAAAGGCGCACCAAGGCGACGAUCCUUAGCUGGUCUGAGAGGAUGAUCAGCCACACUGGGACUGAGACACGGCCCAGACUCCUACGGGAGGCGGCAUUGGGGAAUAUUGGACAAUGGGCGAAAGCCUGAUCCAGCAAUGCCGCGUGAGUUAUGAAGGCCUUAGGGUUGUAAAGCUCUUUUACCCGGGAUGAUAAUGACAGUACCGGGAGAAUAAGCUCCGGCUAACUCCGUGCCAGCCGCCGCGGUAA
rnacentral:rRNA from 1 species